rnacentral:rRNA from 1 species
AGCGAACGCUAGCGGCGGGCCUAACACAUGCAAGUCGAGCGCGUACCUUCGGGUACGAGCGGCGGACGGGUGAGUAACACGUAGGUAAUCUACCCUCUGGUGGGGAAUAACCCGGGGAAACCCGGGCUAAUACCGCAUAUGGCCUUCGGGUCAAAGCCUUCGGGCGCCAGAGGUUGAGCCUGCGGCGCAUUACCUAGUUGGUAGGGUAAUGGCCUACCAAGGGAACGAUGCGUAGCUGGUCUGAGAGGAUGAUCAGCCACACUGGGACUGAGACACGGCCCAGACUCCUACGGGAGGCAG